rnacentral:rRNA from 1 species
GACGAACGCUGGCGGCGUGCUUAACACAUGCAAGUCGAACGAUGAAGAAGAGCUUGCUCUUCGGAUUAGUGGCGAACGGGUGAGUAACACGUGACUAACCUGCCCCUUUCUCUGGGAUAACGCUCCGAAAGGAGUGCUAAUACCGGAUACUCACAUCGAGGCACAUGCCUUGAUGUGGAAAGUUUUUCGGAAAGGGAUGGAGUCGCGGCCUAUCAGCUUGUUGGUGAGGUAACGGCCCACCAAGGCGACGACGGGUAGCCGGCCUGAGAGGGGGACCGGCCACACUGGGACUGAGACACGGCCCAGACUCCUACGGGAGGCAGCAGUGGGGAAUAUUGCACAAUGGGCGAAAGCCUGAUGCAGCGACGCCGCGUGAGGGAUGAAGGUCUUCGGAUUGUAAACCUCUUUCAGUAGGGACGAAGCGAAAGUGACGGUACCUAAAGAAGAAGCACCGGCUAACUACGUGCCAGCAGCCGCGGUAA